AAAUAGAUACCCCGGGUAGUCCACGCCGUAAACGAUGGAUACUAGCUGUUUGGAGUAAUCUGAGUGGCUAAGCGAAAGUGAUAAGUAUCCCACCUGGGGAGUACGUUCGCAAGAAUGAAACUCAAAGGAAUUGACGGGGGGCCCGCACAAGCGGUGGAGCAUGUGGUUUAAUUCGAUGAUACGCGAGGAACCUUACCAAGGCUUAAAUGGGAAACGACAGAUUUGGAAACAGAUUUUUCUUCGGACGUUUUUUCAGGGUGCUGCAUGGUUGUCGUCAGCUCGUGCCGUGAGGUGUCAGGUUAAGUCCUAUAACGAGCGCAACCCCUGUUGUUAGUUGCCAGCGAGUCAUGUCGGGAACUCUAGCAAGACUGCCAGUGUAAACUGUGAGGAAGGUGGGGAUGACGUCAAAUCAUCACGGCCCUUACGCCUUGGGCUACACACGUGCUACAAUGGACGGUACAGAGAGCAGCCACUGGGUGACCAGGAGCGAAUCUAUAAAACCGUUCUCAGUUCGGAUCGGAGUCUGCAACUCCGACU
rnacentral:rRNA from 1 species